UACGUAGGGUGCGAGCGUUAUCCGGAUUCACUGGGUUUAAAGGGUGCGUAGGUGGGUCUGUAAGUCAGUGGUGAAAUCUCCGUGCUUAACAUGGAAACUGCCAUUGAUACUAUAGGUCUUGAAUUUUCUGGAGGUAAGCGGAAUAUGUCAUGUAGCGGUGAAAUGCUUAGAUAUGACAUAGAACACCAAUUGCGAAGGCAGCUUGCUACAGGGAUAUUGACACUGAGGCACGAAAGCGUGGGGAUCAAACAGG
rnacentral:rRNA from 1 species